rnacentral:rRNA from 1 species
AUUGAACGCUGGCGGCAGGCUUAACACAUGCAAGUCGAGCGGAAACGAUGGUAGCUUGCUACCAGGCGUCGAGCGGCGGACGGGUGAGUAAUACUUAGGAAUCUACCUAGUAGUGGGGGAUAGCACGGGGAAACUCGUAUUAAUACCGCAUACGACCUACGGGAGAAAGGGGGCAGUUUACUGCUCUCGCUAUUAGAUGAGCCUAAGUCGGAUUAGCUAGAUGGUGGGGUAAAGGCCUACCAUGGCGACGAUCUGUAGCUGGUCUGAGAGGAUGAUCAGCCACACCGGGACUGAGACACGGCCCGGACUCCUACGGGAGGCAGCAGUGGGGAAUAUUGGACAAUGGGGGAAACCCUGAUCCAGCCAUGCCGCGUGUGUGAAGAAGGCCUUUUGGUUGUAAAGCACUUUAAGCAGUGAAGAAGACUCCGUGGUUAAUACCCACGGACGAUGACAUUAGCUGCAGAAUAAGCACCGGCUAACUCUGUGCCAGCAGCCGCGGUAAUACAGAGGGUGCAAGCGUUAAUCGGAAUUACUGGGCGUAAAGGGAGCGUAGGUGGCUCUAUAAGUCAGAUGUGAAAUCCCCGGGCUUAACCUGGGAACUGCAUCUGAAACUGUAGAGCUAGAGUAUGUGAGAGGGAGGUAGAAUUUCAGGUGUAGCGGUGAAAUGCGUAGAGAUCUGAAGGAAUACCGAUGGCGAAGGCAGCCUCCUGGCAUAAUACUGACACUGAGGCUCGAAAGCGUGGGUAGCAAACAGG